CCUCCAAACACUGAUGCAGCCACUGUGUUGAACAGGAUUGAUAGCAGAGAGCUCUGUUGCUCCAGACCCAGGAGGAACCAAGAGUAAUUUCCCGCCACAUGACCCCCCUCUCUCCCCAGAAUGGAGUACUCUCAGGAGGAAACCAGAUGACUCAAAAGUCGUCCAUGGACUGCCACCUACACCACAAGUACAUAUGGGGGCCUGCUUCUCUAAAGUAUUCAACGGCUGUCCGUUAAAGACUCAGUGUGCUGUUACAUGGGUUCUACCAAAGACCAGAGGUAAA